rnacentral:lncRNA from 1 species
AACACCCACCAGUUUGCUAAAAGCUUUAAACAAGCUUCAUCUUUCCCUUGUCUUUGCUUGUAGACGAUUCUGUUAGGUUCACAAUUUCACAAAUCAUACACAAUUCACUAAUAGUCGAAGCACAUUAAAACUCAUGCAUAACACAAGUGAACCGAGGUUCAUACAUGCUAAUCUUUUAUCGAACCUAGUUUCCUUUGUUGCGAACUUUCUUAAUUACUUUUAUAUGUCUAACCCAAUAGAGAAAUAAUGUCUUAACUUUAAUCCUAAAAACUAAAUGUUGGGUUCUUAUUUUCGUAGAAUCUUGACAAAAAGAGAAAUAAGUAAUCGAUGAAGAAAUUUGAGAGAGGUUUGUUGUUCAAAAUAAUGUGGAAUUUUCAAUGACAAAAGCUUAAUUUAUAAGCACUAAUUGUUUUGAAGUUCUUAGGAUACCUUAAUAGACAUAGGAAAGAGUUACGUGCAUGAGUGGUGUUGUGAAGAGGAAAAUAAGUUAACUUCCUAACUUUGGUAUAAUUUCCUUUUGGCUAAUCUUUUUUUUUUACAGUCAAGCCCUUACUUUCACUCUUGAGCCAAACCAACAACCGUAGCUCACCAGGCCCACUGGCAACCCCAGCUAUCCAAGCCCACUAAUGACCCCAACUCACCAGGCCCCAAACUCCUAAGUCCUAUUUUGGGAUGUUACACAAUGAGAAUACAAAACCCAAGUCCCGAAUACAAAGCUCACACCCAAAGCUCUCACUAAAGGGGUUUUACAAUAUUCUCUCAAACUCUCACCAAAACUCUAUAUGCGACUACAUCUUGUCGCCCUCAAAGAAAAGUCAUUGUUGAUUGGUGUGUCUAAAUCAGGUUUACAAAGACCCUUUAAAUAGGCUCAAUACUAAAGGCUAAAAUGGCUAAAAUAACCUUAAAGUAAUCAAAGUUUAAUUGGGAGAAGAAGUCGUUUUGAGUUGUACAAAACAUGGCUGCAUAACAUCAGGAAUCGUUGUGACGUGUCGGCUUUCCUCGUCAUGACAUUUUCGCCACGACCAUUGCCAAAAACCGUCGCAUCGUCCCAACAUUUGGAACCUCCUCGUCCUGAUGUCG